UAAUUACUGUCUCAUUUGUUUUUUUAGAAUUUAAUUUUUGAGUCAAAAAGCUCAAGUUUUUUUGUAGGACGAGAAGACCCUAUAGAUCUUUAUUGUUUUUAUUCUUUUUUUAUUUAGUUUAAAUUUUAUUUUUUAGUUUAUUUGCUUUUUUGUUGGGGUGACAUGGAGAUUAUAUUAACUCUUUAUUUUUUUUUUCAUUUAUUUAUGUUUAUUUGACCUUUUAUUAAUGUUAUAAGAUUUAGAUACCUUAGGGAUAACAGCGUUAUUUUUUUUGAGAGUUCAUAUCGACAGAGAANAUUGCGACCUCGAUGUUGGAUUAAGAUUAUUAUCAGGUGUAGUGGCUUGAUUAUUAGGUCUGUUCGACCUUUAAAUUCUUACAUGAUCUGAGUUCAAACCGGA
rnacentral:rRNA from 1 species